AUUCGCCUUCAUGAAGUCGGAAUUGCUAGUAAUGGCAGGUCAGCAUACUGCCGUGAAUACGUUCCCGGGCCUUGUACACACCGCCCGUCACACCAUGAGAGUUGGAGAUACCCGAAGCUUAUGAGCUUAACUUUUAGAGGCAGUAGUCGAAGGUAGAAUCAAUGAUUGGGGUGAAGUCGUAACAAGGUAGC
rnacentral:rRNA from 1 species